rnacentral:rRNA from 1 species
GACGAACGCUGGCGGCGUGCUUAACACAUGCAAGUGGAGCGACGAACCGGGGGCUUGCCCCGGGGCGAGAGCCGAGAACGGGUGAGUAACACGUGGGUGUAUCUGCCCUGAUGAUCGGGACAACCCGUCGAAAGACGGGCUAAUACCGAAUGUGCCCGCAAGGGGAAAGGAGGCUUCGGCUUCCGCAUCGGGAUGAGCCCGCGGCCCAUUAGCUUGUUGGUGGGGUAAAGGCCUACCAAGGCGACGANGGGUAGCUGGUCUGAGAGGACGAUCAGCCACACUGGGACUGAGACACGGCCCAGACUCCUACGGGAGGCAGCAGUGGGGAAUCUUGCGCAAUGCGCGAAAGCGUGACGCAGCAACGCCGCGUGCGGGAAGACGGCCU